rnacentral:rRNA from 1 species
GACGAACGCUGGCGGCGUGCUUAACACAUGCAAGUCGAACGAAGUGGCGAACGGGUGAGUAACGCGUAAUCAACCUGCCCUUCAGAGGGGGACAACAGUUGGAAACGACUGCAAAUACCGCAUACUGAGGGAGGGGAUUGCGUGUGAUUAGCUAGUUGGAGGGGUAACGGCCCACCAAGGCGAUGAUCAGUAGCCGGUCUGAGGGGAUGAACGGCCACAUCUGGACUGGGACACGGCCCAGACUCCUACGGGAGGCCGCAGUUGGGAAUCUUCCGCAAUGGACGAAAGUCUGACGGGGCAACGCCGCGGGAGUGAUGGCGGCCUUCGGGUUGUAAAGCUCUGUUAUUCGGGACGCGGUACCGGAAUAGAAAGCCACGGCUAACUACGUGCCAGCAGCCGCGGUAAUUC